rnacentral:lncRNA from 1 species
UUUUUUUAUUUUUUUGAUCACAUAUCAUCAAAUUAAUUUGUCACAAAUUAUUUCAAGAUCACAAAUUAAAAAUUUUGUAAGUCACAAAUUAUUUCGAAAUCACGAAUAAAAAAUUUACAUGUCACAUAUUAUUUUGAAGUCAAAUUAAUUGGUCAAAGGUUACCAAAUUAUUUCGAGGUCAUGGAUAAAAAAUAUACAAGUCACAUUAUUUUGAAGUCAAAUUAAUUGGUCAUAGGUUGUCAAAAUUUAGGGUUACAUUUAAACAGUUGAUCACAGAUAACUAAAUGGUUAGUCAUAUACACCAAUUUCUUGAUCACAAACAAUCAAAACACUUGUGACCACCAUCAGCCACAUCGCCAACAAAACUCCAACCGCCAAUACCAUCGCCACCAUCUCCCGACAGCAUCGUCAUCUCGAAUGCCGCAACUAACACCACCUCCCCACCAACAAAACACAUACAAAGCCAACACCCCACAAAAGCCAUCACCACAACGUUAUCACCAUUUCACCAUCUCCGCCACCACCACAACCACAGUUUCCAACCAACACCCAGUCACGACCAGCCUUGUAAUCUCAAGCACCGCAAAUAGCACCGCCUUACCAUCUCCACCCCUGUCACGGCCAUCAGAUCCACCCCCCUUGUUGCCACCAAAUCCAGAUGCUGCACUUCCAACUCUCAUUUCACCACCAUCUCCACUCGUCAACCACAAUAGUCACCGCUAGUUCACCACCAGAUCCGUCACAUUCAAAACCAAACAAGAUUCGACAUAACACCUGAGUUGCGACUACAGCGACCGUCGUCACAUUGUCACCACCGCUACAACAUGGGAUUUGAAACUACUACAACGCCGUUGAAGAAUGACAUCACAACCACCAUCCAACAAAAAGAAAAAAUUCAACACUCCACCACAAAAAAUCGCUGCCUACUACCACCUCGAUCUCCACCACAUCACAAUCACCAUCCAACAAAAAGAAACUCCAAACCUGUCACCUCCAUUGCCGUCGGCACCACCAGAUCUACACAAGCAAAAUCAAUUACACAGGCAGAAGCAGCAUCAACGACAAUGGCAGCAUCGUCUCUCGCCAAGCGUUGCAAAGGCGUCAUUGUCUUCGUCCAGCGACGAGCUUACGGUGGUCUUCAUUGAUGAGAGAGAGAGAGAAAACCGAUGGUUGAGAGAGGUGAGAGAGAAAAUGAGAUACACGGAGAGAGAGAGGAUCACCUGCACUUGUGUAAUUUCCACUUGUGUCUUGAGCCCCAAAAGGGGCAAGGAUCACCUGCUUGAUUGGGUAAUCGGGUCGGCCCCAAGGCG